AGAGUGAACGCUGGCGGUAGGCCUAACACAUGCAAGUCGAACGGCAGCACAGUAGGAGCUUGCUCUUACGGGUGGCGAGUGGCGGACGGGUGAGGAAUACAUCGGAAUCUACCUUUUGGUGGGGGAUAACGUAGGGAAACUUACGCUAAUACCGCAUACGCCCUUCGGGGGAAAGCCGGGGACCAGCAAUGGCCUGGUGCUGAUAGAUGAGCCGAUGUCGGAUUAGCUAGUUGGUGAGGUAGUGGCUCACCAAGGCGACGAUCCGUAGCUGGUCUGAGAGGAUGACCAGCCACAUUGGGACUGAGACACGGCCCAAACUCCUACGGGAGCAGCAGGUGGGGAAUCGUUGCGCAAGUGGGCGAAAGCCUGACGCAGCCAU
rnacentral:rRNA from 1 species